AGGAGAAAUCAUAGCUACCGCAGCAAGCAACUGGGGAAUAAAAUGACCUGCAGUGCAAGACUAAGAUUAUCCUUAUAAAAUUUUUUCUCCCCAGAAGCAAAUUUUAGUUCUGAAGAUCUGUAAGACUUCUGGCAUGCAUUCUAAAUGCUUCAACACUC